rnacentral:rRNA from 1 species
CCUACGGGAGGCAGCAGUGGGGAAUAUUGCACAAUGGGCGCAAGCCUGAUGCAGCCAUGCCGCGUGUGUGAAGAAGGCCUUCGGGUUGUAAAGCACUUUCAGCGGGGAGGAAGGCGUUAAGGUUAAUAACCUUGGCGAUUGACGUUACCCGCAGAAGAAGCACCGGCUAACUCCGUGCCAGCAGCCGCGGUAAUACGGAGGGUGCAAGCGUUAAUCGGAAUUACUGGGCGUAAAGCGCACGCAGGCGGUCUGUCAAGUCGGAUGUGAAAUCCCCGGGCUCAACCUGGGAACUGCAUUCGAAACUGGCAGGCUAGAGUCUUGUAGAGGGGGGUAGAAUUCCAGGUGUAGCGGUGAAAUGCGUAGAGAUCUGGAGGAAUACCGGUGGCGAAGGUGGCCCCCUGGACAAAGACUGACGCUCAGGUGCGAAAGCGUGGGGAGCAAACAGGAUUAGAUACCCGUGUAGUC